rnacentral:rRNA from 1 species
CCUACGGGGGGCAGCAGUGAGGAAUAUUGGUCAAUGGGCGGAAGCCUGAACCAGCCAAGUCGCGUGAGGGAAUAAGGCCCUACGGGUCGUAAACCUCUUUUGCCGGGGAGCAAGGGCGGGGACGUGUCCCGGCCCGGAGAGUACCCGGAGAAAAAGCAUCGGCAAACUCCGUGCAAGCAGCCGCGGUAAUACGGGGGAUGCGAGCGUUAUCCGGAUUUAUGGGGUUUAAAGGGUGCUUAGGCGGGCUUUUAAGUCAGCGGUAAAAAUUCGGGGCUCAACCCCGUCCGGCCGUUGAAACUGGUGGCCUUGAGUGGACGUGAGGAAGGCGGAAUGCGUGGUGUAGCGGUGAAAUGCAUAGAUAUCACGCAGAACCCCGAUUGCGAAGGCAGCCUUCCGGCGCCCUACUGACGCUGAGGCACGAAAGUGCGGGGAUCGAACAGGAUUAGAUACCCCAGUAGUC